CUGACUUUGGCCUGAAAGCCUCGCAGAGGGGCCCACAUUCCUGCCCACGGCAUCCCCGCUCCUAGGAGGAAACUCAACAGGAUCUCUCCCUAUCCCAGCAUGCGCUCCUCAUCCUUGGGAAAAAAAGACAGCGCUCAUAAAUCCGGACAAAGUUAAGAUAACCGUGAGAGAAUCCGGAGUGUCUGACCUGCUUCCUUGAAGGAGAUGGUGGUCUCUGCCCCCUGGGUCCUGGGCCUUGAUGUACCUUAGAGGAUGUGGGUGAAGGAGAUGCUGGCUGGAAUGCAGUGCUGCAAUCUCGGCACACCGAAACCUCCGCCUCCCAGGUUCAAGCUGUUCUUCCAUCUCAGGCUCCCAAGUAGCUGGGAUUACAGACGCAUGCCACCAUGCCUGGUUAAUUUUUGAUUUUUGUAUUUGUAGUAGAGGUGGGGUUUCAUAAUGUUGGCCAGACUGGCCUUGAACUCCUGACCUCAGGUAAUCUGCCCGUCUUGGCCUUCCAAAGUAUUGGGGUUACAGAAGUGAGUCACCACACCUGGCCAAGAACUUUCUUUCUUCUUACCUUUUCUCUUAGUAGUGAGAGAAUUUUACACAAAUGAUUAUUGUAGAUGGAUAACAUGGUAGUUACUGAAGGAGCGUUGGAGGAUGUGUUCUAACUUGUUCAUUUUACAAGUGGAGAUACUGCGGCCCAGAGAGAGAAAUAGUGUCCUCAAAGUCACCACAUAGUAGGUGCUCACUAAGUACUUGUUGAUUGAAUCAGCAUAAACACACACAUUACAGACAGAGGGAACACCACCUGUUUGGAAGUCCCAGGCCACUGGGCUUUGACUCCCAGCGUGCACCACUUCAGUGUCCGAAAGCACAUUCACGUAAGUGAUUGCAGACAGGCUUCCUGGAGGAGGCAUGGCCUUCAAAGCUGUUCUAAGUGAGAGUCCAGGUGGAAGCCUGCGCAAACUGCAAACAGGACCAGGAGGAGGAGCUGGGGGCUGUGGGCACCUGGAGUGAGCUAUGGGGAGCUCAGGGGGUUGCUGGUGGAGCCUUGAGGAUUAGAGGCAGCAGUUUUGGGGCCUGCAGCUGUGGUCGCAUUCCUCCUCCUCCUCCCCUCAUCUCCCUUGGGUCCCUCCAGCUGGAGCUGCUGCUAACGAUACUGACCCAUCCUUGGCUGUGGAGACUGAGGCUGCCAGAGGGCGGGUGCUGGUUUCCAGGCUGUGCCACGUCAAGUGAGCCACUUAUGGGUGAGGAGGUCUCCAAGGAAACUCCAGAACAUUCUGUGGGUUUUGGUGAUGGCCUGCUGAGGUGGCAGUGGGCGUGGAGCAUCCGAAGGUCCAAGGAGUUUGCCCAGUGCCUGGCAUCGAGGCGGCCACACCUGGACUUCUACCCCAUUCCAGGCACUGAACCUUCCACUGGACCUGAGAAGUCGGGGUGCUCUUAGCACCGUGUUUCCAGGGAGGACACAGAGGCACAGGGGAGUGAGGACCCUGCGCUGGGUGGUGGCAGAGCUGAGCUUUGAACCCAGGUUUGCGUGACUCCCAGCCCAGGUCCUGUUCUCUCAGGGGCUGCACCCUCCCACUGCCCUUUCUCCUCCCCCUCCCACCCGGCAGGGUUGAGCCAGACUGGGGUUCCAAAGCCCUUCCUCCUUCUCCAUCCAGAGAUAAAUAUUUGUUUCUCCAGUGUAAAUAGCCCUUCGUGUUUAAUGAGGCAAUUCUAGGGCCAUUUCCUGGCACAGCUCAGUGCCUGGAGGUCUCUUUCGCUCUGGGAGGAACAGUCCUAGGAAGAGAGCCGCUAAGGAGGGGCUCAGGGCCUCCGAGCAAAUCCUCCCAUUUACAGAUGAGAAAACUGCCACUCAGAGAGGGCAGCCGACCCAUCCAAGGCCACCAGCCAGGAUUCAAAGCCAUGCUGCUCUGCUUCUGCCUCCAGGCUCUGCCUUUGCACAGGCUUCUCCGGGCUCCUGGACCCUUCCCUGACCCUUCCAGCUGGCUGUGCUGUGACAGUGGGCAGCGGAGUGGCGAGACUCUGCCCUGCCCCCCGCCCUUGGCAUCUCCUGUCAAUAUGGCACUCACAGCUCCCCGGGCAUGAACCCCCU
rnacentral:lncRNA from 13 species